GAGGAUUCCCCUAGUAACGGCGAGUGAACGGGGAAGAGCCCAUCGCCGAAGUCCCCGUCCACACAGGGCGGCGGACAAUGUGGCGUUCGGGAGGAGCCACUCCUCCGGUCGGAGAAAGCCCAAGUCCCCCUGACAGGGGCCAUUGCCCAUGGAGGGUGCUAGGCCCGUACGGCUUCUUCCAUUCCGAUCGGAGUAUGGCUCUCUUCCCUCGAGUCGGGUUGCUUGGGAGUGCAGCCCUAAGUCGGUGGUAAACUCCACCCAAGGCUAAAUACCGCCACGAGACCGAUAGCAAACAAGUACCAUGAGGGAAAGUUGAAACAGAACUUUGAAGARAGAGUUCAAGARUACGUGAAACCGCUCGGAGGCAAACGGAUGGGCACUCSAAGGUCGAACGGKGGGAUUCAACCAGUCGUUAUUUAUGCCGCUCUGUUGGCUGACAGUCUUUUUUUAUAAAUAAUA
rnacentral:rRNA from 1 species